GGUACCCAUAGUCUUCAGAUUGGACAGAUAGUCUAGCUAGCUGUCUGGAUUUACCCUGCAGAGAUCUGAGGACCAGGUAACCAUAGUCCUCAGAUUGGACAGAUAGUCUAGCUAGCUGUCUGGAUUUACCCUGCAGAGAACUGAAGACCAGGUAACCAUAGUCCUCAGAAAUCCACCAGAGGUUACAACACCAACACAAAGACAGAGGAAGGUAACGAACAUCUGGCCGACUGUGCUGUAUUUUUGGUUUUACUUCUUAUGGAGGGAUCACUCCAUAAAUACAGCACAUUUUGGUUCAGUUUAUUUACUGAAUAAUGAGAUUUUAGUCCAUAGACCUUUAUCAAGGAACUUAUUAAAGUCGCAGGCUAAUUGAUCACCAGUAUUAGCACAUUUUAGUGAAUGAUUGAGAGAAAUACCAGAUCCAGAUCCUUUUCUAUUGAGACGUUUACCAACUUAAACUUUGGCUUCACCCGCUGAGGUUUAACUUGAUGCGAUGAGAGACUGAUGAGAGUUCUGCCUCGAUGUCAUUUUAUACGUUUUUGACAACUAAAACGGCAGGGACUCAGCAGGAAACUAGUCCAGCAAUGACGUCUCGUUGUAGGCCGACCCGGACGUUAGCUUAGCUCUGCGCUCAAUCUGCAGGUUUCCAAUGGAAGUUCUGAACUGGGUUUUUGGAUUUAAUGCAAAAUAAGAUCUGUAGCAAAGUAAUAUUGACAAUAGUCACACAAAUGAACAGACAUUUCCAAUAGUUGCACCCAGAUCUUAUUUUGUGCAUGAAUGAACCUGUUGUGAACCUGUAGAGGGAACACACAUCUCUUUAACAACUGUUUUUUCAAAAAAUGUUCCUGCGUCAUGUUUUUGGCUUUUGCUGUAUGAAGUUCUAUGUUUACAUUUGGGGUUUUUGUAAAUGAUGUUUUAUUUGUUUUUGUCUGUAUUUGCAUUGCUCUGAAGAAUUUGUCCUUAUAUCUUCCUGUAAAAGCCUGGAGAAGAGCUGCAUUGUCUUCCUAAACGUGGAAGUGAUGCUCUGAAAUAGGGAGGUGGGACGACGACAACAUGUUUUUGGCCCACGAAGGCCGACCGACACACACUCAGGAUCCAGGCUGUAGUUUCACACACUGACUGCGAAGUUAAAGCCACACUUUCACACGCUAACGGAGAAAUGUUACAGCUUUUAUUGUCACUUCCAGGUGUGUUAGUGUUCAUUUAGGACAACACUUUACCACACGAGUAAAGUCGAAGAAAUCCAACCAAAAGGUGUAAAUUAUGAACCAUUUAAACGCUUAUCAUCAUGCUAGAGUUAUUCCUGAGAUUUGUGUAAGUUGCAAAUGUAAAAAAUGUAUAUUUGCUAUCACCAAAAUAAGAGGGAGUAUUCCUCCCAUAGCUAGAUAUAGUUUAACAGAAAUAUAUCACUGUAUACCAGCAAUUCACUUUGAAAUCCAAAGUGUUAUUUUAAAACUACAAUUAAUUUACAAAAUAGCCUACAGAACUGAGUUUAGGGUGAAAAUAUGCAUCCAUACUCCCGGAUAUUCAUCAUGACAGCAGCUGGAGGCUGAUUUUGCAUCACUCUAAACAGACUGCUAACUUAAACCCGCUGUGCAAAACUCCAAAAUGUUAAAAAUUAAUUUUCCAAUAAGAGGAAGAAAAGCUGAAAAUUGCGAUAAGUUCAAAGAAAUAUGUAAAAAUCUGACAAAUGAUGCCAGCUUUUAGUUACCUGACAGUUUCCUCUGCUGUUCCACACCCAGCCCGGAUCGGGUUGAACCCUCGUGAGACUUUAAAGCAGUCUCAGGGUUUCCAGAAAUCAUCUUCAAAAUGAAUUUCUAUCUGAAUUCUUCAGCAAGCACCGUUUCACGUGUGUAAAUGUGUCAGAAAUGAGAGAUUUGCACUGGAAACUCAAUUCAACCGACCAAAAGAAAGACUUUACUGUGUAUUGAUUGUAUACUGGCAUACUUAAAUCCGAUUAUUGACUUAUGCAUUUACUGCAUUAUAAGUUGUUGUUAUGUUAUUGGAGAGUACAUGAACUUUUUUUUGCAGGGGUGUGCAAUAAGCUUGACUCUACCCUCCUUUGUUGGAAAAAAAACUCUUCAGAUUCUGAUUUAAUGGAAAAGUAAUUCAAAUGUGGACCGAAGUAGAGAAUUUAAAAUGGAUUCAAUUUUAUUUAUAGUGUCAAAUCAUAACAGAAGAUAUCUCAGGACACUACAGGUAGAGUAGGUCUAGAUCCAACUCUAUUAAAAAUAAAGAUGAAGCCCUGACAUGUAAAUAUAAAAGUCAUUUCACCUUCUGUGCCGGCAAUAAUUUAGUCAAAGUCGCAGUGAUUUAAAUAUCGCAUUUUUUUAGAAUGAAGUUCUUCGUUUUUCUUCUUGUUAUUGACGCUGUUCGACGUUAAAGAGUCGAGCAUGUUGAAGCUUCUUGUCGACUGUUGAUCAGUCUUUUUUUUUAUGCUUGUUGUCUUACUGUUAGAGGCUCCACAAAGCAAAGUUACGAGGCACAUAACUCUACUCUGUCUGAUGGGUUUGAUCAACUGGGCAACAUGUUGGGCAACUGCCUCCGGCAACUGGCAACACAGUGUUGUUCAUGAGAAAAGAAAGACGCAGUGUGAUGUUGGGGAGUUCUGAAUGUAGUUUAAACGAGAUUAAAAUGCAAAGGAGUUUUUAUAUGGAUGCAAAGAAAGGCCAAAAUAAUUUCAUUUAAAUGUGAAUUUUAAAACCAGUUUAAGACAGCGCUCCGACCGACCACUUCAUACCUUCAUCAUUUUGUGUUUUUUGUUCCAACUGAUUAAACAUGUUAGAGGUUUUGUCAAAUGUGAGGAUAAUUGUUCUGUCACUGCAGAAAUACCAACCCUCAGAGGCUUUAAAAGAAGUUUCAAAGAUUUUCUUUAGACUUCCAUUCUUUGAGUUGGACAUGUGGUUCCCCUCCUGGGAUCAUAUGGAGUAGUAGACCCAACUCUUUGGACAUGUAGCCAUCCUAGUUACCACUUUCCUUCAAAUAUCCGUCCACACGGAUGUCCAAUCUUAUGUAGCUACAUUUCUACAGGCACAGUAAUUAAAAACAAGAUUGAAUGUUGAGUUUUUUUCUGUGUAGGAUGAAGCGUUGUGCUUCCUGUAAGCAGCAUCGUAGCCCUCCGUGUUAAACAUGAACGAAAAGUGACUCUUUGUAUGUCUUCUAAGUAUUGAAAAUGUUCCUGGAUGAAAAACUGGCUUUCAUGACUAGCCCUCCCAGACAUUUAGGUUUUUAUUUUGUUGACGGCACAUUCCUCUUAUUAUGGUCUUAUUAGAGAUGAAUAACAAUACAACAUGCAAAACCUUUAGUCUCUAAUUUCACUGUGAUUUUGGGGACGUUUGUCUGCAAACGGAUGUUCUACUGUGCACCCUCUGUAUUAAAAUAAUCUGGUGAAUGUCA